rnacentral:sRNA from 2 species
CUACACUUCAUUGGGGAGUAGCCGCUGUUUACGCACAGUAAACAGGUGAUGGUCAACAUAUUUGCUCAACAGAGCAUGGUCAUCAUAGCAAAAAACCAAGUGAGCUUUUCUUAAAAAGUUUUCUUUUGUUGGCAAGACCUUUGAUUUACCACUCUGCAGAUUUGGCUAGCAGGAGCGGUGAGUCAUUGGUAUUUAUUUGCU